CCAGAAAAAAAUCUUUGCAAGAGAAUGGCAGUAGAACAUAUUACUACACACAUGAUGAUCAAUACAAGUCUGGGCCUCAUAACAGUGAAUGCUUUCUGCAAACUUUGUCAUACUCACCUUCUCGACGUCCAUUGCGUAGACACUUGACUUUCGGGAUUCUGCUUAAAAAGAAGCAUUCUGAAAAAGAAGGAAGAAAGAAGGGCUGGAGAAAAUCAAGAGAUGGAGGAAAUAUUUCAGUUCCUGCCCCAAUCCCUUAUGUUGCCCUUUGUAAUUGUCAGCAAGAUCCCUGUGUUAGGGUGUUUUCCCCAUAUAAUAUGUCAUUCCACCUCUUGAAAUUCCUCCAGACUGAAAAAAACAUCAAGUUGGACUGAACAAGAGAAGAGCCACCAAAAGAACAGCAGGAUAUGCUA